AUGACGUUUGUGUUCACACAAAAGAACAAGAAAAGAAAAAAGGCCUGCACCAAGCAUAGCCGGAGGGGCUCAGUCGGAGUCGUCGCGGUCGUGCCAGCAGAGGAGCAUGGAGACGCACCGCCCGAGGAUGUACAGCCUCGUCUUGUGCUGCUUCAGCAUGGCGCAGCAGCUGCCCUGCCGCGGGCGCCGCGGCGGCGGCGGCCGGGAGCGCCGAUGCUGCGCCGCCGUCGUCGUGACGAGGUUGCUGUACGCCGUGCAGACGGAGUGGGGGACGGAGGCGGCCGGGAGCUCCAUGUUUUGAGACGAGCGGGCGUCGCGGCCUAA
rnacentral:rRNA from 1 species